UAUUCCUGAAUUAAGCAGAGUAAGUUAGUCUCCAUUGUAAACUUCUUGUAUUUAAUCACAGCAUGAAAAAGUUGAACUUUUACUGGCAGUCCUGGCUGUAC